rnacentral:lncRNA from 1 species
GCCCUCCGCGCGCAGUCGGGGCGGGGAGCAGCGCCGGGAGGUCCAUCUUGGUCCCAGCGACGGCGUCGGAGCAGCUUCGGACGCAGAGCUGCCCGCGCCCCGCCCAGGCAUUGACUGCGUCCCAGGGGCUGUACCUGUCCGAGCUGAUUAAGCGUGCGCGGUCACCCAGGGGUGAGGAAACAGGGACGGCGAGCUCGAGUCACUCGGCAGCCGGCAGAUCCAGGAUUCGAACCUGUCCAACAGGCCGGACGCCUACCCCCAGCUCACUUAAGUGCAAGCUCGCCUGCCGCCGCUGGCGCACAGACCUCGUUUGCUUUGGCCCAGGUCCUUGCUCGGCACACGGGGCCUCCCUGAUACGCAGGACCCCUGCCUGUAUUUCCAACUGUAUUUCCUACUAAACUUGGCACAACCUCACUCUGCAACAGCUUAAUUACUUACUGUUUCCGGUCCUCACCCUCCCCCACCUCACCGUACACCUCCGCAUUCAAUCUGGACUCCUCCACUUCAACUUCACCACCACUCAGAUCCAAACCCGCACUUUAUUCCUGGGUACCUGAAAAAUAACUACUAGCUGGUCAUCGGUCUCCCUCCGCUCCACUCGCUCCCAUCCACGGGGCACCGUUUUAUGAUCUAAAAAUUGCACAUCAAAUUAUGCUCACCUCCACCUUGCUCCCGAAGGCGCCUAUGGCCUUGCUAGUCUACCCUCCCCUACCUGUUUGCCCUCACUUCCCGCCACUCUCCCGCUGCCCCCCCCACCCCUCCCCCGCACCCCACCUCUUUUUCCCAGUUCAUCCAGCAAGCCAAGCUGGUUCCAGCCUCAGAGACUUGGCGCAGCUGAUCUCUGAUUCCUCUGGGAGGACUCUGCGCCCCUUCUGAUCCAAAGCACAUGCUUACCCAGUCCCGUAUUCCCACCUCUGUCUGAUCUGUUUGCUCUUAGAGCUCUCAUCACCCGUUGUUUUGUUGAGUUCCUUCCCUGCUCCUUCACUGUCUCUCCCUCUCUGGAAUGUAGGCUCCUGGAGCCCAGGAACUGUGUCCUAUUCACUGUGUGUGCCCAGGAAGACUCUUGGUGCAUAUUUGUUAAAU